UACAGAUGCGACGGAUGGAGAGGUGGUGACAGCCGGCGAUGGGAACAAUUCAGCGCCAUCGGCACCGGACGCUGAAUAGGAUGACGUCGAGCGGCGCUGGGCACGGGGAAGGAAGCGAAGGCCGGGCGUGACCCCGCAUCGCUGCCCGCAACGGACACCCACUGCGUUUUCAAUUACGUGUUAGGAGAUCACGUCUCUCUGUUUUUUUUAUUAACGCUCGUUGCUACGAACCGUCUGCGAUUUGACGGUAUUUGCCACGUGCUCCCCACGAACCUUCGCCUCCCGUUGUCGCUCGCCGCGUCACAAGCGCGAGGUCGCAGGCGUUGCGGGGAGCGUUCCCCGGUAAAACGCUCGCACAGCCCCCGCGCGCCACGAUUCGAUUCGUUUGGAUCCGUCACGCGGCGGCGGCGGCGCAGGAGGAGGGUUACACGACACACAUUUGGCCAGAUCUAUGUCACGUGGGCCCCAACUCGAAAUGCCUAUCGCCUU